CCUGCCAGUUUCCAACUCAUCAUAUGAGCGAAGAGAUGACAACCCAGACACAAACCAAGGAAAUGUUCCCCAAGAACAAAACAUUGAAAAGAAAUAGAAGAGAUGAACAGCAUCUUCAUUACUUGCACCACAUGUAUUAUUUUUCCCUUGUUAACAUGGCAUUGUCCAAGAGGCUGCUAGAGAAAAAUGGGCAGUUUUCAGAUGUCAGAACAGAGCACAGUAUCCGCGAUCUG